ensembl:lncRNA
CAGACACACACAGGGGAGCGGCAGUCUCACUGAAGCAAUGAGCCACAAACCCACAGCAUCCUCCUCUCCUACCCGCUCCCUGGACCUCUGCCCAGAGCCAGCACCCCAGAAGUGAAGGCCAGCUCCGUGUCAUGGGCUACUCUUAACGACAGCAAAUCCCUUGACAUCGGCACCUGCGUGCUCUGGGAGCAGCCGUCCAGCCAUCGUGCCGGUGAGCUGCCUGCCUUGUGCUCUGACUCCAGGUUUUGGGUCACCACUAACGGCCACAGCAGCACCAAGUGUGGCACACGCCACCUCGAACGUCCAGAGGGGGUGCCCUCUUCUAAGUGGCCAGGGCCACCUGUCCUUCGGCUGUGGCAUAGUGAGACGGCAGGGGGAAGGCACAGAAUCAGCGAGCUGGCACAGUCCUGAAGCAGGUUUCCUCGUGGUCCACAAGGCUGCUGGGGUUCCAGCCAUCAUGUCUGCCUUUCAGGAAGCAGGAAGGAGGUAACAGAAAAGGACAAAGGACUUUCCCCGGUCAUCUAUCCCCCGAGAUGGAAUGUUUCUUAAAUUUUUCACCUAAGGUGCCUCACUUCCUUCUUCCUUGCUUUAGUCCCAUUAAAAGCAAUCAUCUCUGACCCUGCAGUGCUUGAACACC